rnacentral:lncRNA from 1 species
AAAAGAAAAGGGGUACACCUUAAUCAUUUUGUAGUCGUGUUUUGUAUUCCUUGUUCAACAUCCUUGCCUAUGUUACAUUUUUAACAGAUAUUUGAAUUGUAAAUGUUUGAAUGUAUCCGAAUAGUUUAAAAAAAUACAAUUUCUCAAGAGGAUCACUUUUCCAUAGCGGAUUGCAGCGAGGAACGAAAAAUACUGUCUGAUUUCAAUCAAAUCCAUUAGGAAAAUGAAAUAAAAGGUUUAUUCUGUGUUAACUCUUUAGUCUUGCUGUCAUCAAUUCUAUCAUUCAAUCUAAGACCAAAUGAUAUCUAUCAAUUAUGACGAGCCUUCUUCAUCAAUUAGAAGAUACUAGAAUGAGACGCGUUAGCGAAUGUGUGGAAUUGAAUCUAACAAAAGAUCAUGUAACUUUGUCACGUCCGGCAUUAAAGAACAAGUCAAUAUGUAAUAAAGAGGUCGCAUAAAUACUUAUAGUGAUCAUGAAUAAUUAA